AUUGAACGCUGGCGGCAGGCCUAACACAUGCAAGUCGAACGAGUGGCGGACGGGUGAGUAAUGUCUGGGAAACUGCCUGAUGGAGGGGGAUAACUACUGGAAACGGUCGCUAAUACCGCAUACCCUCAGAUUUUCCCAGAUGGGAUUGGCUGGUUGGUGGGGUAACGGCUAACCAAGGCGACGAUCCCUAGCUGGUCUGAGAGGAUGACCGGCAACCAUGGAACUGGUAAACGGUCCAGCCUCGUACGGGGGGCAGCAGUGGGGAAUAUUGCAAAAUGGGCGCAAGCCUGAUGCAGCAAUGCCGGGUGUAUGAAGAGGGCCUUCGGGUUGUAAAGUACUUUCAGCGGGGAGGCGUUACCCGCAGAAGAAGCACCGGCUAACUCCGUGCCAGCAGCCGCGGUAAUUC
rnacentral:rRNA from 1 species